GGGUGUUAUCCUGCGAAGCAAUGGCCAUCUAUACCGGUGGGGGUUUCCAACUAAAGUUUUGAUAUGGCAAAAUGGAAAAAUGACUGUGACUGUGACCCCAAAAGCGGAAUCAUCACUCUUAAAGAAAUGGGCCUGUCGAAUAAUGAAGAAGAAACUGCAGUAUGUACACAAGUGGCAUCUCCCAAAAAUUUGAGGCCAGAAUGGAAGAUGGCCGGAAAAUCAGCUCUAUAAGGA